rnacentral:rRNA from 1 species
AUGGCUGCUGCGACGUUGCUCCUGGUGCUAACGGUCGUCGCCCUCGGCUCCGGUCAUGGCGAGGCCUUCGACCCUAACCCCCUCCAGGACUUCUGCGUCGCCGACACCACGUCCAAAGUGCGCGUGAACGGGGUGGCGUGCAAGGACCCGGCGGCGGCGGUGGCGGACGACUUCUUCUUCGCCGGCGUGGACAAGCCGGGCGGCGGCGCGGCGAGCAAGUGGUACGGGUUCUCGGCGCUGACGGUGCAGAUCCCGGGCCUGAACACGCUGGGCGAGUCGCACGCCCGCGUGGACGUGGCGCCGGGGGGCGUCUUCCCGCCGCACUACCACCCGAGGGCGGCGGAGACAGCGCUGGUGCUGGAGGGCUCCGUCUACUUCGGCUUCGUCUCCUCCUACCCGGACAACCGGCUCUUCGCCAAGGUGCUCCGCAAGGGCGACGUUUUCGCCGUGCCCCAGGGGCUCGUGCACUUCCUCUACAACAACGGCACCGCGCCCGCCGCCAUCUACGCCUCCCUCAGCAGCCAGAACGCCGGGCUGGUGCUCCUCGGCGACGCGCUCUUCGCCGGGGCCAUCCCCGACGACCUCGUUGCUAAGUCGCUCCUCAUGGAUAGGCACACCGUCGGGAGCAUCCGGGCAAACUUCCGGCGGCCUUGA